rnacentral:rRNA from 1 species
GGGUUGUGAGGUUAAGCGACUAAGCGUACACGGUGGAUGCCCUGGCAGUCAGAGGCGAUGAAGGGCGUGCUAAUCUGCGAUAAGCGCCGGUAAGGUGAUAUGAACCGUUAUAACCGGCGAUACCCGAAUGGGGAAACCCAGUGUGAUUCGUCACACUAUCAUUAACUGAAUCCAUAGGUUAAUGAGGCGAACCGGGGGAACUGAAACAUCUAAGUACCCCGAGGAAAAGAAAUCAACCGAGAUUCCCCCAGUAGCGGCGAGCGAACGGGGAGGAGCCCAGAGCCUGAAUCAGCAUGUGUGUUAGUGGAAGCGUCUGGAAAGGCGCGCGAUACAGGGUGACAGCCCCGUACACAAAAGCGCAUGUGCUGUGAGCUCGAUGAGUAGGGCGGGACACGUGGUAUCCUGUCUGAAUAUGGGGGGACCAUCCUCCAAGGCUAAAUACUCCUGACUGACCGAUAGUGAACCAGUACCGUGAGGGAAAGGCGAAAAGAACCCCGGCGAGGGGAGUGAAAAAGAACCUGAAACCGUGUACGUACAAGCAGUGGGAGCACAGGUUUACCUGUGUGACUGCGUACCUUUUGUAUAAUGGGUCAGCGACUUAUAUUCUGUAGCAAGGUUAACCGAAUAGGGGAGCCGGAGGGAAACCGAGUCUUAAUUGGGCGUUAAGUUGCAGGGUAUAGACCCGAAACCCGGUGAUCUAGCCAUGGGCAGGUUGAAGGUUGGGUAACACUAACUGGAGGACCGAACCGACUAAUGUUGAAAAAUUAGCGGAUGACCUGUGGCUGGGGGUGAAAGGCCAAUCAAACCGGGAGAUAGCUGGUUCUCCCCGAAAGCUAUUUAGGUAGCGCCUCGUGAAUUCAUCUCCGGGGGUAGAGCACUGUUUCGGCUAGGGGGCCAUCCCGGCUUACCAACCCGAUGCAAACUGCGAAUACCGGAGAAUGUUAUCACGGGAGACACACGGCGGGUGCUAACGUCCGUCGUGAAGAGGGAAACAACCCAGACCGCCAGCUAAGGUCCCAAAGUCAUGGUUAAGUGGGAAACGAUGUGGGAAGGCCCAGACAGCCAGGAUGUUGGCUUAGAAGCAGCCAUCAUUUAAAGAAAGCGUAAUAGCUCACUGGUCGAGUCGGCCUGCGCGGAAGAUGUAACGGGGCUAAACCAUGCACCGAAGCUGCGGCAGCGACGCUUAUGCGUUGUUGGGUAGGGGAGCGUUCUGUAAGCCUGUGAAGGUGUGUCGUGAGGCAUGCUGGAGGUAUCAGAAGUGCGAAUGCUGACAUAAGUAACGAUAAAGCGGGUGAAAAGCCCGCUCGCCGGAAGACCAAGGGUUCCUGUCCAACGUUAAUCGGGGCAGGGUGAGUCGACCCCUAAGGCGAGGCCGAAAGGCGUAGUCGAUGGGAAACGGGUUAAUAUUCCCGUACUUGGUGUUACUGCGAAGGGGGGACGGAGAAGGCUAUGUUGGCCGGGCGACGGUUGUCCCGGUUUAAGCGUGUAGGUGUGUGUUCCAGGUAAAUCCGGUUCACUUUAACACUGAGGCGUGACGACGAGGCACUACGGUGCUGAAGCAACAAAUGCCCUGCUUCCAGGAAAAGCCUCUAAGCAUCAGGUAACAUCAAAUCGUACCCCAAACCGACACAGGUGGUCAGGUAGAGAAUACCAAGGCGCUUGAGAGAACUCGGGUGAAGGAACUAGGCAAAAUGGUGCCGUAACUUCGGGAGAAGGCACGCUGACACGUAGGUGAAGUGAUUUACUCAUGGAGCUGAA